rnacentral:rRNA from 1 species
GUUGGUGGCGAUAGCGAAGAGGUCACACCCGUUCCCAUGCCGAACACGGAAGUUAAGCUCUUCAGCGCCGAUGGUAGUUGGGGGCUUCCCCCUGUGAGAGUAGGACGCCGCCAAGC